GCCUGGGUGUUGUAAUUGGUAGCCAAUAGUGACUUAAAAUCACUUGCCGUAAGGCGUGCGGGUUCGAGUCCCGCCCCAGGCA
rnacentral:tRNA from 1 species